CAUGCAAGUCGAACGAAGUAGCAAUACUUAGUGGCAGACGGGUGAGUAACAUGUAGGUAUCUGCCCUUUGGCCUGGAAUAACACGAGGAAACUUGUGCUAAUACCGGAUAAGUCUUUACGGAGAAAGCUUUAUGCACCAUUGGAUGAGCCUGCACUUGAUUAGUUUGUUGGUGGGGUAAUGGCCUACCAAGACUGUGAUCAAUAGCUGAUUUGAGAGGAUGAUCAGCCACAUUGGGACUGAGACACGGCCCAAACUCCUACGGGAGGCAGCAGUGGGGAAUCUUGCACAAUGGAGGAAACUCUGAUGCAGCGAUGCCGCGUGAGUGAAGAAGGCCCUUGGGUUGUAAAGCUCUUUCGUCGGGGAAGAAAAUGACUGUACCCGAAUAAGAAGGUCCGGCUAACUUCGUGCCAGCAGCCGCGGUAAUACGAAGGGACCUAGCGUAGUUCGGAAUUACUGGGCUUAAAGAGUUCGUAGGUGGUUGAAAUAGUUGGUGGUGAAAUCCCAGAGCUUAACUCUGGAACUGCCAUCAAAACUUUUCAGCUAGAGUAUGAUAGAGGAAAGCAGAAUUUCUAGUGUAGAGGUGAAAUUCGUAGAUAUUAGAAAGAAUACCAAUUGCGAAGGCAGCUUUCUGGAUCAUUACUGACACUGAGGAACGAAAGCAUGGGUAGCGAAGAGGAUUAGAUACCCUCGUAGUCCAUGCCGUAAACGAUGUGUGUUAGACGUUGGAAAUUUAUUUUCAGUGUCGCAGGGAAACCGAUAAACACACCGCCU
rnacentral:rRNA from 1 species